CACCUCCGAUCCACACCUCUCUCACAGGCAAAAUCUGUUGCAGCAGCCAUAUAGAUCAUGGCAGGACGCAGAAGUAGGAGUCCAGGAGAUCAGCUGUGGCUACAAGUAGAGAAUGCCACAAAAAAAAGCAACUAGGUUCAAGCUGGUCCACAGUUUGAGGCAAACAAAGCAACUAAGUCCAAGCAACCGAUGAAGAAGCAGCCGGAUGUGUUCUUCAUACUUCUGGUACGGUACACGUACGCAUCAGCUGUUGUCCUUCCCUCUCAAUGGCGGCAGGCGAGAUGUGGCGCGCAGCUUACUGGUGUUCAUGGGCAUGCUCCUGUACAGCUUGGAAGGUGUUGUGGCAGUGACACAGUUCUGCCCCUACCUCCAUCCCCAUUUGUCGUCCCGUCGGGAGCCCGCAGGCGUAGCAGAAGAUGAAUUUGCACCUAAUUAAAGACAGCACCAGAACAUUAGCGCAAGGGGAUAUAGGGUCAUGCAGGAAGUAUUUAAGACACGGAUAGAUCAGUAUCAAAAUGUUAAAAGUACAGAAAACAUGACAAGCUAUAGGAACCAGAGAAACUAACUAGCUUUCAGAUCAAAAUUCAGGAUUUUUGAUAAGGGAUUAAUCUAAAACACUCAACCAAUCUAAAGCAUCAAUAUGUAAAUGAAAAAAAAUAUGCACUCAAAUUCGAGUAGAAGAUGACUCCAACAUGACUGGUGAGAGUGAUCCCAUGACUUAAAACUGAUAUUGUGCACUAUAGCAUCGGGUGAUCAGAUGAUGUGAAAAUCAAUAAAGUAUGUUGAGAAAUCGGCGCACAAACCUUGACAUCGACUCACUAGAAGUGGCACCAAGGUGGUGUGACACCACUUCUUCUGUGGAUCUUAUCCCCACACUACUCUGAGGAGACCUUCACACCGGCACCAACAUGAGAGACCAACUCUCUACAACGAAACUCAAAUAUUUUAUUCACCUACUCACAACUUGAUACAACACUCACUCUUACAUUCUUUAUGUGGCUACCCUACCAUGACACCACUCCACUACAUGGUAACCUUAUCAUCUUUUCACUUAUGGCUCACAUGCCACUCUAUGCCAUGGUAU
rnacentral:lncRNA from 1 species